AGCGAACGCUGGCGGCAGGCCUAACACAUGCAAGUCGAACGAACCUUUCGGGGUUAGUGGCGGACGGGUGAGUAACACGUUGGAACGUGCCUUUAGGUUCGGAAUAACUCAGGGAAACUUGUGCUAAUACCGAAUGUGCCCUUCGGGGGAAAGAUUUAUCGCCUUUAGAGCGGCCCGCGUCUGAUUAGCUAGUUGGUUGAGGUAAUGGCUCACCAAGGCGACGAUCAGUAGCUGGUCUGAGAGGAUGAUCAGCCACAUUGGGACUGAGACACGGCCCAAUCUCCUACGGGAGGCAGCAGUGGGGAAUCUUGCGCAAUGGGCGAAAGCCUGACGCAGCCAUGCCGCGUGAAUGAUGAAGGUCUUAGGAUUGUAAAAUUCUUUCACCGGGGACGAUAAUGACGGUACCCGGAGAAGAAGCCCCGGCUAACUUCGUG
rnacentral:rRNA from 1 species